CAAGUCGAACGAGAAAGUGGAGCAAUCCAUGAGUACAGUGGCGUACGGGUGAGUAACACGUGGGUGAUCUACCUCUUAGUGAGGAAUAACCCUGGGAAACCGGGGCUAAUACCGCAUAAGCCUGAGAAGGGAAAGUCGAAAGACGCUGAGAGAGGAGCCCGCGGCCGAUUAGCUAGUUGGUGAGGUAAGAGCCCACCAAGGCAGAGAUCGGUAGCCGGCCUGAGAGGGCACACGGCCACACUGGCACUGAAACACGGGCCAGACUCCUACGGGAGGCAGCAGUGGGGAAUCUUGCACAAUGGGGGAAACCCUGAUGCAGCGACGCCGCGUGAGCGAUGAAGCCCUUCGGGGUGUAAAGCUCUUUCGGCAGGGAAGAUAGUGACGGUACCUGCAGAAGCAGCUGCGGCUAACUACGUGCCAGCAGCCGCGGUAAUACGUAGGCAGCAAGCGUUGUUCGGAGUUACUGGGCGUAAAGGGUGUGUAGGCGGUUCUUUAAGUUUGGUGUGAAAUCUCCCGGCUCAACCGGGAGGGUGCGCCGAAUACUGAGGGACUAGAGUGCGGGAGAGGAAAGUGGAAUUCCUGGUGUAGCGGUGAAAUGCGUAGAUAUCAGGAGGAACACCGGUGGUGUAGACGGCUUUCUGGACCGUAACUGACGCUGAGACACGAAAGCGUGGGUAGCAAACAGGAUUAGAUACCCUGGUAGUCCACGCCCUAAACGAUGCAUAUUUGGUGUGGGUCAUUCAGUUGAUCCGUGCCGGAGCUAACGCGUUAAAUAUGCCGCCUGGGGAGUACAGUCGCAAGGCUGAAACUCAAAGGAAUUGACGGGGGCCCGCACAAGCGGUGGAGCAUGUGGUUCAAUUCGACGCACCGCGAAGAACCUUACCUGGGCUCGAACGGCUUCUCAACGCC
rnacentral:rRNA from 1 species